UGGGGAAUAUUGGGCAAUGGAGGCAACUCUGACCCAGCAACGCCGCGUGAAUGAUGAAGGUCUUCGGAUUGUAAAGUUCUGUUAUAGGGGACGAACAUAAUGACGGUACCCUGUGAGAAAGCCACGGCAAACUACGUGCCAGCAGCCGCGGUAAUACGUAGGUGGCAAGCGUUGUCCGGAAUGACUGGGCGUAAAGGGAGCGUAGGCUGUCUGUCAAGUUAGGAGUGAAAUCCCACGGCUCAACCGUGGAACUGCUUUUAAGACUGAUGGACUGGAGUGAUGGAGAGGUAAAUGGAAUUCCUAGUGUAGCGGUGGAAUGCGUAGAUAUUAGGAGGAACACCAGAGGCGAAGGCGAUUUACUGGACAUUAACUGACGCUGAGGCUCGAAAGCGUGGGGAGCAAACA
rnacentral:rRNA from 1 species